GAGAAACUAGUAAAUAAUAAUAUAUUAUCUCCAAAUUGUUUUCUCGUACAUUUUGGUGCAAGCAACUUAUGCUGGGUUAAACCCUGCACUCAAAUUGUGCAGAUAAAUACUCAUUAACUAAGAUCUUCAAGUAGUGCAAUUAUACAGAAGCAUAUAAAUACUAAAACAUGAACAAAAUGAAGCAAAAUCACUUUUUCUACCUCUAAAUACUUUUACUUUUCAAGGCACACAAACAAUGAAACAUGUUAUCAAAUAUUGGAUACUCUGAAUACUUCUCAUAUCAUAUCACUUAAUUUAUGCCAACUUGAUCCAGUAUUGCUGAUCAAAGAAAGAACAUCCAUUAAGAUGCAAGGGCUGCAGCAGCUUUCUGAAAUGGAAUGAAAAUAUUAAAGUUUAUAGUGGAAAUGCUACUACUUCUCUUUAGGAGAUGAUAAUUUAGAGAAAAAGAUAAAGAAAAUAGAAUUUUUAAUCAAAGUUUACCCGUUUUUGCUCUUCCAUGUUUGCUUUUAUCAGAGAAUAGACAGCAACACCUGCAAUUGCAAUAGCAGUGCCAAUGCCAGUUUGUGUGUAUAUUGUGUUGCCUGCAGAAAUUCACAAAAUGUUAGAAUAGAACAUCAGAGUUAUUGUUAAUUAAUCACAGCUUAUUAUGAUUGUCUAUUUGACAGUGUUGAAAUGAACACUCAUGGCGCUUCCGAGACAUCUGAACAAAAAGUUUGUUACACAGCUAACCCAUUACCUCCUCGCCCUCGACCACGCAAGAACCGUUCUGAAGCCUGGGAUCACUUUACAAUAGAGCCGGGAGAGGAAAAGAA
rnacentral:lncRNA from 1 species